rnacentral:lncRNA from 1 species
GUCGAAUCAGACAAAAUUUAAAAUGUGCUGAGAAACAGGUAGCAUCAGCAAGAGAGAUGCCAACAAGUAAUAGAUUUUAUUCAUCUCUUCUUCAGGACCAGGAGAGGAGAUAAAAAGAAAUAGUGGAAGUCCUUCCUUCUUAGGGGCCGUGUCUCCAUGCCACUGACCUACUUAUGUGUCAAGUGCUGUGCACAGAGAAAGAAGGAGGCAUGCUAAUGUUCAAGAAAAAGCAGCUGUGACGAAGUUGCACUCCUGUUACUUCUGCCAAUGAAUGCACUGAAAAAAACAGUACAUCAGAUUUCAGUGAGGUUUUCUGACACUACUUCCUUCAGAAAGAACCAGAUUCUACAACCUGCUCACCUGCCCAGCUAUUGAGAACGUAAGACUUUUGCUAUUAAAAUAUGUCUUUCUAUCAGAAGAAAUAUUUUCUGUAACAUUUUCUGCAGUAAAAAGCCAUAGGAAAUUAAAGUAGAUCAAAAAUAUUUAAUAUGCAUUAAAAAAACAAUUUAGACAAGAAAGGUCAGUAGUGGAAAGGUGUGAUACCUGCAAUUGGAGCCAAGUUAGAAAAAGGGUUGGCCGUUUACAGCCAAGUUAAACAACACACAAUUAAGGUUAACCUGGCUCUGCUGGCACAUAUAAACCCACACAUGAGGACGGUGGGGGGCUAAGACAGUUUCAGCAGUCCUAUUUACCUUGGCCAUGUCCAUAACUGAGUGUUUUGCGUACUGGCUCUGUUUGUAGACAUCACACCUUCUCACCCACUCUUUACACUUGGCAUCUGAAUGCACCCUAAAUAUUUGCCCCAAACUUCAUAUUUUGUUUAGAAAAAAAUAAUUGUUGAGAGUUCCUCUGUAGGAGAACAGAAGAAAAGCUUUUCUACUGCCGAAUGUGUGAUGUCCCCUGCCUGUCCCAAAUUCCAACAACAGACUCAUCACCAUGCUGUCUUACAGGGGGCUGUAGGAGCUGGGAGGCAAGCAGGAGACAUCACCAGCCAUAGAGCACCCAUUCAAAAUGCAUCUGGACUUGCCAUUGUGAAGUAUUGCUGUUCUGUUAUGGCGGCAGGGGACAUGUUGGACAUGAAUGACUGGUAGGGAUGGCAACGAAACAUCUAUCAAAAUAUUUCUCAGCAGCUCAGAUGUUUUUUCUAGAUCAAAAAGUGUUUUCUUUCUAGGAGAAAUGUAUCCACCUUGUCAAAGAUGAGCACAUCUCAGUUCACUCCUCACAAAGAGUAGGGACGUAUUCUAUCCAGGUGUAUUCUGUCCCAUGCUCACAGCACCUCCCAGCCCUGCUUCUCCCUCACUGCUGUGUCCCACACACAGGACCUCCAUGGAGGAGGGUGCCAGGACAGAUUCUCCCACAAAGCUUGGCCACAGGUCAUGGUCUGAAAGUUACUCAGAGAAAAGAGCAGGAAUAAUACUUUCUUUUUCCCCCUCUGCUCAGUGAUUUCAGUACAACUCAAGCUCCUAACUGCUGUAGGGAUCCAGGCCAAAACAUAUUCAGUAAUAGAUACUGAAACAGACUAUUUCAUGUGCCAGUUCGGUAGGUUAAUUCACAUAAGCGAGAAAACAGUUCUGACUGAAGGGAGGAGUGAUUUUAAAACGUUGAUUCAUACAGAAGUGUUAGCAGCCUUGUGCUUAUACCCACCAUCACUGAACAGAACAGAAUCGGCAGCAAUGUUAUUUCCAAGUUCUGUGGUGUAAAUAAAACCCCUCUCUCUGACUCACAGUGAGUCAUUUUUGUCUGUAUGUGUUUAUGUCGAGGGAGAUAUAACUUGGUGCUCUGAGCAUUCUUCUUGACAAGAUCUUUUUGUGUCUCUUUUUCUCUUGCUUUUCUGUGAACUUUUGAGAUCUUUCUUGCCAGUGAUCUCCUUCUUGCUUAGCGUAACCUCAUCCCACUUGUUCAGCUUUCUGGCACAAGUGAAAAAAGACAUGAAGUUAUAUUGGCUGCAGUGUUGGCACGUUAUAGGGAAUUAUAUACAAAAUGAGAGAAUUUAAGUACCAAAGGCUGUAUGAAAGCAGCAACAUCUAGGCAAACUGACACCUAGUGUGUACAGUAACUGCGGGGCAUCUUCUGUUACUUCAGAUGAAGGUGUCUGAACAUCUCUUUUUUAAGGACCUCGCUGUUCACAGUUUUUUACCAUACCAUCAUGAUUUAUGCUCACAGCGGCCAGUCCCAGCCUUCAGAAAUGCAAAAGCAUGCUUAGCCCUUGCAACGGGGAAAGGAACAGAAACUAAGCCCAACCACAUCCCCAGUGCACAUCUGUAAUAUGUUUCUAUUUCUAGCCUUCCUUCUGAGCCCUGGGAGGUAAGGUGAGAUAUGACUGCUCCUGGGAAACAAUGGGGGAGUGUGUGUGACCAUAGCCCUCCACGCUGCCGUGGUGGUGUGGCCAUGUCAGUCACUCAUAUCACCUUUGAUAUCAGAGUCUGGCCUCAAUGAACCUGCUCAAUAUCUGCUGCAUGCUGCACUGUUUGGGGAUGAUCCCACCAGAGUUGCCAAGCUGUUUUCAAAAGACAGAGUGGAGAAGUCAUUACUUUGUCCAUGGCCUUCUCUUCAUUGUGCAGCUCUGGAAGAGCCUCCCAAAGUUCUGCACUCCCUCACUGUCCUGCCUGUGUGUGUGCUGUCCCCACCGCAGCCUGGAGCUCCUUGCUUGCGGUGACCAAAAUGGCUCAGGCCUGUCUACGAGGGCUGAGAAGGAUGGAUGGACUUCUGCAGGGGAUGAAAGACAGUGCCUUUCCCUGCUGCAUGGUGUUGUUCCAACCUAAGUGCUAAGUGAGACAAGAUUCUAAUGAGAAAAGCUCAUAUGUCGCCAGCUCCACAUCAUCCUGACCUUCCUCUCUCCCCCUGCAAACACCGGUAAAAUGGAAAGGGGUGGCACAACAGAACCAGCCUUGGCAUUACUGAUAAAUGAGUUUCUGAGAUGCUCUCAGUUUGGAGAAUUACUUCACAGCACAGGGAAGGUUGAAAACAUCCACUCUUCUCUAACCAUAGUAUAGUGACAGAAGAAAAUACGUACAAUGAGCAAAGGAGAUAAGCACUG